ACAUGAGCGCGACCUCACGCGGACGGGGGGACUUACUUGGCGGCUAUUGGAGAGCCUGGGAGUUGUGGGUCUAUGUAUAUUUCCCGACAUUGGCCCCAGAGUUGAUGGUAGCGGGAGCUCUCGUGACCCCGUACUCACUUGUGUUUGAAGGCCAGCACCGGCCAAGACCUCGGGAGUCUCUCCUUUACCUGCGACAGUAUUUUGACACGGUGCGCUCAUCAGAGAUUACAUGGCAGCCCUGGGCGCCCUU